rnacentral:rRNA from 1 species
UACGAAGGGGGCUAGCGUUGUUCGGAAUUACUGGGCGUAAAGCGCGCGCAGGCGGCUAUCCAAGUCAGUGGUGAAAGCCCGGAGCUCAACUCCGGAACUGCCAUUGAAACUGUUUAGCUGGAGUAUGAGAGAGGUGAGUGGAAUUCCCAGUGUAGAGGUGAAAUUCGUAGAUAUUGGGAAGAACACCGGUGGCGAAGGCGGCUCACUGGACCAUUACUGACGCUGAGGCACGAAAGCUAGGGGAGCAAACAGG